CCUACGGGAGGCUGCAGUGAGGAAUAUUGGUCAAUGGACGAGAGUCUGAACCAGCCAAGUAGCGUGAAGGAUGACUGCCCUAUGGGUUGUAAACUUCUUUUAUAUGGGAAUAAAAUGUUCCACGUGUGGGAUUUUGUAUGUACCAUAUGAAUAAGGAUCGGCUAACUCCGUGCCAGCAGCCGCGGUAAUACGGAGGAUCCGAGCGUUAUCCGGAUUUAUUGGGUUUAAAGGGAGCGUAGGUGGAUUGUUAAGUCAGUUGUGAAAGUUUGCGGCUCAACCGUAAAAUUGCAGUUGAAACUGGCAGUCUUGAGUACAGUAGAGGUGGGCGGAUUUCGUGGUGUAGCGGUGAAAUGCUUAGAUAUCACGAAGAACUCCGAUUGCGAAGGCAGUUCACUGGACUGCAACUGACACUGAGGCUCGAAAGUGUGGGUAUCAAACAGGAUUAGAUACCCUUGUAGUC
rnacentral:rRNA from 1 species